AGCCGAAACGCCUGAAAAGGCGUCCACCGGAGGUUGACCGCCCGGUGCCGAUGAUGGCAGGUCGAA
rnacentral:hammerhead_ribozyme from 1 species